rnacentral:rRNA from 1 species
UACGUAGGGAGCAAGCGUUGUCCGGAAUCAUUGGGCGUAAAGCGCGCGUAGGUGGCCUCAUAAGUCCGCUGUGAAAGUCAAAGGCUCAACCUUUGAAAGCCGGUGGAUACUGUGAGGCUAGAGUACGGAAGAGGCGAGUGGAAUUCCUGGUGUAGCGGUGGAAUGCGCAGAUAUCAGGAAGAACAUCGGUGGCGAAGGCGCUCUGCUGGACCAUAACUGACACUCAGGGACGAAAGCUAGGGGAGCGAAUGGG